AGUAUUUUGAAUGGUUAGUUAGUACAUUAGUGUGAUUGUUCUUGUUUUGUCUAAACGUUUAACUAUGUUACAGGUUUUUGCAUUGAGAGAUGGUUGAUAGUGAAGGACGAGCCCAUCUGACUUUAUUGUUCCGUUUGAUCAGUAUAUGGAAUCUGUGAAGAAUAACUACUUUAUCGACAUGAGAUUUGUGUACCGAAACAGUUCUUCAAACAUGUGUACUGCUUUUGAUGGGAAGGCGAAAUAGAUAGAGGAGAAGAGACUGAUGAUAUGGAAGUUUGUCUCAGUCCUUAUAAGUUUUAAUGUUAGUUUUUUUGGAUAAAACUUGGCAGCAUAGUACAAGACUUGUAUGAUAUGUAAGAUUUGUUUAAAUUAAUGUUAUGUAUGUUGAUGAUA